GAAAAACCGAUGACCGGGUCGAGUACCCAGUUGAGGUGGCCAGAGAGUCUCCGGUUGCUGAGAAGGAGAUCCACUCGAGACUGAGGGAAAAUCCCCCGGGAGGUGCGCGCCGAACGCUGAGGUGUUCCCGGCUAGUAGGUGUCGCCGCGUCCCCGCGUUAAGGGGCCGGGCGUCGAAGUCGGGCGCUUUGGAUGGGACAAGUGGGCGGCCUCCUGUCCGGGAGGCGGCCAAACAGGGUGGUACCGCGGGUAACAACUCGCCCCUGAG
rfam:Kyrpidia tusciae DSM 2912, complete genome.